rnacentral:rRNA from 1 species
AUGAACGCUGGCGGCGUGCCUCAUACCUGCCAGUCGAGCGCACAGACGAGGAGCUUGCUCCUCUGACGUUAGCGGCGGACGGGUGAGUAACACGUGGAUAACCUACCUAUAAGACUGGGAUAACUUCGGGAAACCGGAGCUAAUACCGGAUAAUAUAUUGAACCGCAUGGUUCAAUAGUGAAAGACGGUUUUGCUGUCACUUAUAGAUGGAUCCGCGCCGCAUUAGCUAGUUGGUAAGGUAACGGCUUACCAAGGCAACGAUGCGUAGCCGACCUGAGAGGGUGAUCGGCCACACUGGAACUGAGACACGGUCCAGACUCCUACGGGAGGCAGCAGUAGGGAAUCUUACGCAAUGGGCGAAAGCUUGACGGAGCAACGCCGCGUGAGUGAUGAAGGUCUUCGGAUCGUAAAACUCUGUUAUUAGGGAAGAACAAAUGUGUAAGUAACUAUGCACGUCUUGACGGUACCUAAUCAGAAAGCCACGGCUAACUACGUG